ACUCAUCGACGCUCUCCUCCGUCUUCCUUAUGAAACCCACGAGACUCCUUCCCUCAGGUGCUCCUGCCCAAUUGACGCCUCCAACGCUCUCUCCUGUCUUUCUCCUCGCCGAGAAAAAGUUGCAGAAUUUUGCUUGCAAGGGUCUUCUUCUUUCAAUCACGAAUCUAUUAUGUUGCUUCUUCCCUUUGUUCAUCUCAGGGCAACGGUUAUUAUUGUUUGUAGAUUUUGCUGCAUGGAGGAUGUUGUGGCGUAGAUGAAGAGUUAAUAAUGACUGAAGAUUUCUAUAGAACGACAAGAUGGUGCCCAGGAACACAUGGAGCUUCCAAGGUUGUGGGUGGCCGUUUCCAGGAAUUACCGGGGCACUGAUAAUGUCACAUGUUAAGAAGCAAAGGUGACUGGAUUCUGCUCUGAUUAAUACCACUGCUGGCCGGGACACGCACACAGCAAAAACAACAAAGCUGAUAUAUUAUUCCGACAGCAGAAUCGAUUAGCAGAGGCUGUUGCCGUUGUUUACGUGCAUGGCCAAAUCAUUGGAGUCAGCCUACGCAAGGAUCGAUUCGGAGAUUUAGUACGUGUGUGUUGCUCCUGUGUACCCUUUAGUCAUGUUUUCGGUAAUGCAAUGUCAAUUCUUAUAUGAAAAAUGCUACUCCUUGCAUAUUGGAGUAUUUCCUAUUGACAUGUCAAUAUAAAAUGUAUAUGAGACGUUGUGCAAGCCAAUGCUAAUAUCUUGGUAGUAUAAUGAUCUACAAGCUUGAUUAAUUCGAAUAGAUCUUGAGGUUACUAUAGA